rnacentral:rRNA from 1 species
UACGUAGGGGGGCAAGCGUUGUCCGGAAUCAUUGGGCGUAAAGCGCGCGUAGGCGGCCCUGUAAGUCCGUUGUGAAAGUCGAAGGCUCAACCUUCGAAAGCCGAUGGAUACUGCAGGGCUAGAGUCCGGAAGAGGCGAGUGGAAUUCCUGGUGUAGCGGUGGAAUGCGUAGAUAUCAGGAGGAACACCAUAGUCGAAGGCAGCUCGC